rnacentral:lncRNA from 1 species
UUAUUUUUUUUUUUAAGAUUUAAAUAGCAUAUGAUCCGACCUCAAAACCAUCAAAAUAUUAGUCGAGUAAGAUACCUACCUAACCCUCCUGCCUAAACCAUCGAUGCUGAUUCAAUCUGGUAAACAGGGCCUGAAAAUUAACAACGUCGUUCCACUUAUUCAAAAGGAUGGGAUCAAAAUUUCUAAGUUAUUAUGAACUUUUGGAAGAAAGAAAAAAUGGAAGAGGUAACCCCCAACGUAUAAGGUAAAAUUAAUGAUCUUCCACUCCGAAUCAAAACCCUAGGGACACGUUAUCUGGUAAACAGGGCCUGAAAUUUAACAACAACGUUCCACUUAUUCGAAAGGAUGGGGAUCGAAUUUCUAAAUUAUUAUGUUAUAUAAACUUUAGAAAGAAAGAAAACGGAAGAGGUAACCGAUGUGGUGCAAACGCAUAGGUAAAAUUGAUGAUCUUUCCCUCCGAAUCGAAACAAAAGCUAAACCAGUUACUGGAUCCAGACCACCCUGGGACAGGAAAUCAAAAAACCGCAAAAGCAGAUCAAGAAGAUAAAACGAGACCUCAAUCCAACUAAUUGGAAAUCAUACCAACAUCACAAAUUCUUGUCCGGGAGACCGCGAUCGGUAUAAAAAUCCCAACAAUUCACAACCUUUAAACGUAUUAACUUGGUAGAAAAAAGGCCAUCGCCAACAUUCCAGCCAAACGCUAAAAACACACCAAUAACACUACAACGCAGAAUUAAUCAAUCCCAAAAAGUAAGUCGAAAGGCGGAGAACUUAAAUAUUUAAAGGGAAUUCAACCUUCAAUCAUCGUCAGAUGACUGGGAUCGAAAAAUUUUAACCUGGAAAGAGAAAUCGUCAUCGCCAGGAAUCCAGCCAACCCUAAAAUCACAACCAUAACGAAACGCAAUCCAUAAAAAUCAACAAACCCAAACGGAGGAAUCGAGCCGAAAUCGAAAUCUAAAAACGCAGAUUCAACAC